rnacentral:rRNA from 1 species
UUCCUACGGGAGGCAGCAGUGGGGAAUUUUGGACAAUGGGCGAAAGCCUGAUCCAGCAAUGCCGCGUGUGUGAAGAAGGCCUUCGGGUUGUAAAGCACUUUUGUCCGGAAAGAAAUCCUUGGCUCUAAUACAGUCGGGGGAUGACGGUACCGGAAGAAUAAGCACCGGCUAACUACGUGCCAGCAGCCGCGGUAAUACGUAGGGUGCGAGCGUUAAUCGGAAUUACUGGGCGUAAAGCGUGCGCAGGCGGUUUGCUAAGACCGAUGUGAAAUCCCCGGGCUCAACCUGGGAACUGCAUUGGUGACUGGCAGGCUAGAGUAUGGCAGAGGGGGGUAGAAUUCCACGUGUAGCAGUGAAAUGCGUAGAGAUGUGGAGGAAUACCGAUGGCGAAGGCAGCCCCCUGGGCCAAUACUGACGCUCAUGCACGAAAG